CAAAAAAACCUAAGUACUAAUAACCAAAAAAAAACCAUUCAAUCGAUCGAUCGAUUACCACCAAGUUACAACAUCGAAGCCCCGAAAAUCUGCUCCAAAAUCGAUUGAUUGAAGGUUCGAAUUCCGCUCCUCAAAAUCUACACAAAUUUACACAAAUUCCGCUCCUCAAAAAAACCCUAAAUCUACACAAAUUCCGCUCCCCAAAAUCGAUCGAUUGAAGGUUCAAAUUUUGCUCCAAUCGAUAAUGAUGAUUGGAAGGGUUUCUUCGAGAUUUCAUUUCAUGGAAGUGUAUGAUAUGAAACUGAAGAAUUAAGUUGUACAGGAACUGAAAUUUGGGAGUGAAUUUUUGGAUUUAGGCAUUGUGUGAUUAUUAUAUGGAUAUGAAUAGUGCACAUUUGAUCAAUCUUAAUUGUAAGUGCUCUGUUUCUUGGAUGGAUGAAUCGAGAUCUGGUUCUUCUUGUGCUUGGAAAUGAUAAUGUAGGCCUAGUUUGUAAGUUUUAGAUGACAUUUGUAAUGUACUUCAUUCAUGCAAUCCAUGUGUAAUAUACUACUAAUAUGUGUCAAAUUUCA